UACGGAGGGUGCAAGCGUUAUCCGGAUUCACUGGGUUUAAAGGGUGCGUAGGUGGGCUAGUAAGUCAGUGGUGAAAUCUCCGGGCUUAACCCGGAAACUGCCAUUGAUACUAUUAGUCUUGAAUGUCGUGGAGGUAAGCGGAAUAUGUCAUGUAGCGGUGAAAUGCUUAGAUAUGACAUAGAACACCGAUAGCGGAGGCAGCUUACUACGCGAUUAUUGACACUGAGGCACGAAAGCGUGGGGAUCAAACAGG
rnacentral:rRNA from 1 species